CGCGGCCUAUCAGCUUGUUGGUGAGGUAACGGCUCACCAAGGCAUUGACGGGUAGCCGGACUGAGAGGUUGGCCGGCCACAUGGGAACUGAGACACUGUCCUGACUCCUACGGGAGGCUGCAGUCGAGAAUCUUCUGCAAUGGGCGAAAGCCUGACAGAGCGACGCCGCGUGGAGGACGAAGGCCCUCGGGUCGUAAACUCCUGUCACGUGUUAAGAAAACGUGGUUUCGACCACGUCUGACGAAAGCACGAGAGGAAGUCACGGCUAACUUCGUGCCAGCAGCCGCGGUAAGACGAAGGUGGCGAGCGUUAUUCGGAUUUACUGGGCAUAAAGCGCGCGUAGGCGGCUCGGUCAGUCGGGGGUGAAAGCCCGCAGCUCAACUGCGGAACUACCUCCGAAACUACCGAGCUUGAGUGCAGGAGGGGUGAUUGGAACUCCAGGUGUAGCGGUGAAAUGCGUAGAUAUCUGGAGGAACACCAGAGGCGAAGGCGAAUCACUGGACUGCAACUGACGCUGAGGCGCGAAAGCUAGGGGAGCAAACAGGAUUAGAUACCCUGGUAGUCCUAGCUGUAAACGAUGGGUACUAGGCAGUGGAGGCCCGAUGCCGUCACUGCCGAAGCUAAUGUGAUAAGUACCCCGCCUGGGGAGUACGG
rnacentral:rRNA from 1 species